AAUCAACGCUGGCGGCGUGCCUAACACAUGCAAGUCGAACGCGAAAGGGGGCUUCGGCUCCUAAGUAGAGUGGCGUCCGGGUGAGUAACACGUAGGUAAUCUGCCUUCGGGUGGGGAAUAACCAGUCGAAAGAUUGGCUAAUACCGCAUAAUGCAGCGGCACCUAAUGGUGAUUAGUUGUUAAAGCGGGGGAUCUAAGACCUCGCGCCUGAAGAGGAGCCUGCGGCAGAUAGCUAGUUGGUGAGGUAAUGGCUCACCAAGGCUUCGAUCUGUAGCUGGUCUGAGAGGACGGCCAGCCACACUGGCACUGACACACGGGCCAGACUCCUACGGGAGGCAGCAGUGGGGAAUUUUGGGCAAUGGGCGAAAGCCUGACCAGCAACG
rnacentral:rRNA from 1 species